rnacentral:rRNA from 1 species
GGUUGACCUCGGAUCAGGUAGGGAUACCCGCUGAACUUAAGCAUAUCAAUAAGCGGAGGAAAAGAAACCAACAGGGAUUGCCCCAGUAACGGCGAGUGAAGCGGCAAGAGCUCAAAUUUGAAAGCUGGCUCCUUCGGGGUCCGCAUUGUAAUUUGCAGAGGAUGUUUCGGGAGUGGCCCCCAUCUAAGUGUCCUGGAACGGACCGUCAUAGAGGGUGA